rnacentral:rRNA from 1 species
UACGUAGGGUGCAAGCGUUAAUCGGAAUUACUGGGCGUAAAGCGUGCGCAGGCGGUCUUGCAAGACAGAUGUGAAAUCCCCGGGCUUAACCUGGGAACUGCAUUUGUGACUGCAAGGCUGGAGUGCGGAAGAGGGGGAUGGAAUUCCGCGUGUAGCAGUGAAAUGCGUAGAUAUGCGGAGGAACACCGAUGGCGAAGGCAAUCCCCUGGGCCUGCACUGACGCUCAUGCACGAAAGCGUGGGGAGCAAACAGG